rnacentral:lncRNA from 1 species
AUGACGGAACUUUUGGUGCCCUGCCAGGGUGUGCUGAGCGCGAUCCCCGGGCGCCCCCAGGCCUCCUGGGUCACGUGCCUUCCACCGAGCUCGGGCUGGGCCGCGGCUGCAGGGGCGCCCUCUGCUCCCCAGGGGUGGGGUCUCCGAGCUGGGCCGCCUGUGAGGUCAUCGUGGGGCGCGGGGGGCCCUUUCUUGCACCUUCUCGCUCGGACUUCUGGGGUGUGUGGCAGGCAGACCCGUGGGUCCUUGUCACGGCCCCGAGGCCCCGAGGUGCACGUGGUGACAGACCGUCCUCACUCGACUGCUCAACUCCCGGGACCUGGCUCCUGGGCUCGGAGCUUCCCUCCAAACCGUCCGGUUUCAGCGAGCGUCCUGCUGGCCCGCGAGGCAGGAGCCCGGGGCCUGGCAGCUGACCGGCCACCCCGAUGCCUCCUGCGGGGAUCCCAGGGGCCCCUGCUCCUGGCUCUCGCUCCCGCCGUGUCUGAGAGCAGCGCAGGGCGGAGGCCGCGGCAGUGCAGGCUCCUCCGUGUCAGGCGGCUGUGGGGCAGGUGUGGGCCCCGCGCUGAGCGCAGCGUGGACGUGGGCGCGGCCCUCGGGGAGGACCUUUCUCCAGCAGUGAGACCCGAGCCAGCCCCUGACUGAACACAGGAGGGAGCCGGGAAGAUGGUGGCAGCGCACCCAGCGCAGGACCUCGCCCAAGACAGGCCCGACCCCUGCAACGAGACCCAGGCCCCAGCAGCGGAGACCCCGGCCGCUGCAGUGGAGACCCCGGCCCCUGCGGAGACCCAGCACAUCUGAGGCCCAGGAGACAGACGGUCUCACGCUUGUCCUGGUUCGCCUCCCACUGGGGACCACUCUGCCCUCGGCCAGCACAUGUGCUCAGGGUGGCCCCGGGCACCUCCCGCCUCCGGCCCACCAUGAGCCUCACCUCGUCCGUCCUUGGUCCCUGGUGCCGAGGAGCAAGGGCAGCCGAGCAGCAGCCGAGCAGGGCCUGGGUGUGCCCCCCCCCCCCGUCUUUCCCUUGUUUCUUGCCCACGGCCUACGGAUGAGUUUCUAGGGUUUACGGAGGGAUGAGGACACACCCUGAGCUGUACUCGCUGGAACCGCGGGGAUCCGCGGGGGGAGCAGCAGGGCAGUGGGCAGGGCCACCCCGUGUGCCCGCGCGGGGGCAGUGAGGACACACCUCAGGGCCCAGCCCUCAGAUGAGGGCUCCCUGGGAAGGAAGGCAGUAAAGGCCGGAGAAGUUGUACUUUGCUGUUUCACGUUGAUCGCGGGCACAGGUUGCAGAAGUGGAGACGUUAACCUGGAUGAAACAGAAACCCUUGCAGGUGAAUUUCCGAGCCAGCCCUGCAGCGGGGGUGACCCUCGGCUGCCGUGAUGUCCCCGAGUGGCCCCGUAGCAGAGCCUGUGUCACGGGUGACCCCGGGCCAGCUGCAGGGGGGGGGUCAGGCCCCCAGUAGCCCCGGGCCAGGCUGCGGCCCCACCCAUGAGGGGGGCUGCGGGGCUGAGGCGUCCUCCUGGUGGGGUGCUGUCCGGCUGGCUUCUGAACCGGCUGUCGGUGGUGGGUCCCGUGUUCGCGAGCUCCUCACCACGUUCCCCCAAAACCAGCGUCCCUGCGUGCGGUGUGGCCCAGCGACACGUGCUGCGGCAACGCCAGCCCCCGGGGGCAGAGCCAGGUCCGGGGGGACCUCAGGUCCCGGGGGGCUCACACCUGGCCUGGACACUCAGCCUGAGGUGGCGUCUGCCGUGGGACGUGAUGCGGGGACGUGUUUGGUAUGGGGGUGACCUGCGGUGCCCACUGCGAUGUCUGUGUCCUCGAGCCCCACUGUCCCCGGCGCCGCAUUCCCUGGGCCUCCCGCACACAGGGCCCUGUGGGUUUUCUCCGUCUGUUCUCUGCUCCUGACCACCAACCUCGUAGCCCAGGGCGGGGGCUGCACAACCUGGGGGGGUCGUGUGGGCGCAGCCACCUGCAGGUACCAUCUGCGGGGGCUCAGCCCUCACGGCCAGUCUGCUCACUCUCCACCUGGACUGGGGCUGGGGCUCCAUGGAGGGGGGUGC